CCUCCGUAGCCACCAAACUCGAACUGCAAUCACUAAUAUUGUAACACUAACCACAGGAAUGACCAGAGAACCAGUAAUUAUUAAGGUCAACUUUCCUGCAACAAGGAAGAAAAUUAAAUCAAAGAAAUUGUUUUGUAAAACAUGAUCUCU